rnacentral:lncRNA from 1 species
CGCAUCUCCUCAUAUGGAUAUAUAAUACGUAGCGUCGCUAGUACAGUCUGUCUCUGUACCCAUGCCCUCUCAAGUAGCGUCCAUGGUACAAACGUCUCUGCACCACACGCCCGCACCAAUAGUAUCGCCAGUCCAGACGUCUCUGAACCCCUGCCCGCACAAUCAAAGUAGCGUUGCUAGCCCAUACAUCUCUGAGCCCCC